UUAUAAUUUAAUUAUUAAUUUUUUUUAUUUAAAGUAUUAUUUUAUUUAUUAUUGAUAAAGAAAAGUUAUUUUUUAUUAUAGAUUAUUAGUAAAGUGAUUGAAUUGUUUUUUUAAUUUAAAAGAAAAAUUAAUUUUUUGUACCUUGUGUAUCAGGGUUGAUUAAUUUUAUUUUUAUAUAAGAUUUUCUCGAAUUAAAAAGUUCUAAUUAUUUAUAUGUUUAAUUUUUUCAUAAAUUUUCUUAAUAUGUAAUUAGAAAUGAAACGUUAUUCGUUUUUUAUUAUAUCUAGUUUUUUAAGAAAAGAAUUUAAUUCUCUUAUUAUUUAUUUAUUGAUUAAUUUUUAAUUAAUAAUUUUUAAUAUGAAAUAUUUAAAGGGAUGAGCUUUUAUUUAUAUAAUUAAAAAUUUAUGUUUUUAUUAUUUUUUGUAUAAUUUGUAUUGUUAAUCAUUUAAAUAAUUUAAUAGUUAAUUUUAUUUAGUGAUAAGAUUUGUAUUUAUUUUAAUUUUUAUAUUAAAAAAUUUUGUUUAAUUUUAUGGCUUUAGAUUUAAUGAUUAAAUUAGUAGAUAAAUUUGUAUUUAGUUAUUAUAAUUGUAAAUUAAUAAAAAGGAACUCGGCAAAUAAUUUUUUCGCCUGUUUAUUAAAAACAUGUCUUUUUGAUUAUAAUUUAAGGUUUAAUCUGCUCAAUGAUUUAAUUAAAUUGCCGCAGUAUUUUGACUGUGCAAAGGUAGCAUAAUAAUUAGCUUUUUUAUUGAUAGCUGGAAUGAAUGAUUGGACGAGAAAAAUUCUGUCUCUUUAUUAUUUUUAUUGAAUUUAACUUUUAAGUUAAAAGGCUUAAAUUUUUUUAAAAGACGAGAAGACCCUAUAGAGUUUUAUUUUUUAUUUUUUAAUUAAUUUUUGGGAUUUUUUAUUUUUUAUUAGAUAAAAAAUUUAGUUGGGGUGACUGAAAGAUAAAAUUAACUCUUUUAAUUAAAAUCAUUUAUUUUUGAAUAUUAAAUCUAUUUUUAUAAGUUUAAAAUAAAUUACCUUAGGGAUAACAGCGUAAUUAUUUUUUAGAGUUCUUAUUAAAAAAAUAGUUUGCGACCUCGAUGUUGGAUUAAAAUUUAUUUUAGGUGUAGAAGCUUAAAUAUUGAGUCUGUUCGACUUUUAAAAUUUUACAUGAUCUGAGUUUAAACCGGUGUGAGCCAGGUUGGUUUCUAUCUUUAAUUUUUUUAAUAUAUUUUAGUACGAAAGGACCAAAUAUAUAAUAUAUUAUUUUUUUUUGAAUAAUAUU
rnacentral:rRNA from 1 species